rnacentral:rRNA from 1 species
ACGAACGCUGGCGGCGCGCUUAAGCAUGCAAGUCGAACGGCAAGCUACUCGGGUAGCCUAGAGUGGCGGACUGGUGAGUAACACGUGGGUGACAUGCCUUCAGGACUGGAUAGCCUGCAGAAAUGCAGGGUAAUGCCGGAUACGGUGCAGGACGUUAGGGGUCCUGCAAGAAAGGAGCAUUUGCUCCGCCGGGAGAUUGGCCCGCGGCCCAUUAGCUAGUUGGUGAGGUAAAGGCCCACCAAGGCAAUGAUGGGUAUCCGGCCUGAGAGGUGAUCGGACACAUUGGGACUGAGAUACGGCCCAGACUCCUACGGGAGGCAGCAGCUAAGAAUAUUCCGCAAUGGAGGAAACUCUGACGGAGCGACGCCGCGUGGAUUGAUUGAAGGCCGAAAGGUUGUAAAAUCCUUUUGAACCGGAAGAAUAAGCGCAGGAGGGAAUGCCUGCGUGGUGACGGUACGGUUCGAAUAAGCAACGGCUAAUUACGUGCCAGCAGCUGC